CCUACGGGAGGCAGCAGUGGGGAAUAUUGCACAAUGGGGGAAACCCUGAUGCAGCGACGCCGCGUGAGUGAAGAAGUAUCUCGGUACGUAAAGCUCUAUCAGCAGGGAAGAAAAUGACGGUACCUGACUAAGAAGCCCCGGCUAACUACGUGCCAGCAGCCGCGGUAAUACGUAGGGGGCAAGCGUUAUCCGGAUUUACUGGGUGUAAAGGGGGCGUAGACGGCAGCACAAGUCAGGAGUGAAAUCCCGGGGCUUAACCCCGGAACUGCUUUGGAAACUGUGUGGCUGGAGUGCAGGAGGGGUAAGCGGAAUUCCUGGUGUAGCGGUGAAAUGCGUAGAUAUUAGGAAGAACACCAGUGGCGAAGGCGACUUACUGGACUGUAACUGACGCUGAGGCAUGAGAGCAUGGGGAGCAAACAGGAUUAGAUACCCCGGUAGUC
rnacentral:rRNA from 1 species